rnacentral:lncRNA from 1 species
CUGUCUCUUCAGGGGAAACUGAGGCCGGCUUGUUCGGGAGAGACGGCGCGAGCAGUCAGCCAGAAUCUUAUCUUGGCUUUGGAUCUUAGAAGAGAAUCACUAACCAGAGACGAGACUCAGUGAGUGAGCAGGUGUUUUGGACAAUGGACUGGUUGAGCCCAUCCCUAUUAUAAAAAUGUCUCAGAGCAACCGGGAGCUGGUGGUUGACUUUCUCUCCUACAAGCUUUCCCAGAAAGGAUGCAGCAGUAAAGCAAGCGCUGAGGGAGGCAGGCGACGAGUUUGAACUGCGGUACCGGCGGGCAUUCAGUGACCUGACAUCCCAGCUCCACAUCACCCCAGGGACAGCAUAUCAGAGCUUUGAACAGGUAGUGAAUGAACUCUUCCGGGAUGGGGUAAACUGGGGUCGCAUUGUGGCCUUUUUCUCCUUCGGCGGGGCACUGUGCGUGGAAAGCGUAGACAAGGAGAUGCAGGUAUUGGUGAGUCGGAUCGCAGCUUGGAUGGCCACUUACCUGAAUGACCACCUAGAGCCUUGGAUCCAGGAGAACGGCGGCUGGGUGCCAGAUGCCAGUUUUAGAUUCUGGCUCCACCACUGACACAGCUGGGUGACCUUGAUCCAGUCCCUGGACCCUCAGAGGCACAGCUUCUUGGCCUGUAAAUGGGGAGAGACAGCCUGCAUUGCAGAAUUGUUGGGAGGAUUAAAGGACAAAUUGGGAUACUUUUGUGGAACUCUAUGGGAACAAUGCAGCAGCCGAGAGCCGAAAGGGCCAGGAACGCUUCAACCGCUGGUUCCUGACGGGCAUGACUGUGGCCGGCGUGGUUCUGCUGGGCUCACUCUUCAGUCGGAAAUGACCAGACACUGACCAUCCACUCUACCCUCCCACCCCCUUCUCUGCUCCACCACAUCCUCCGUCCAGCCGCCAUUGCCACCAGGAGAACCACUACAUGCAGCCCAUGCCCACCUGCCCAUCACAGGGUUGGGCCCAGAUCUGGUCCCUUGCAGCUAGUUUUCUAGAAUUUAUCACACUUCUGUGAGACCCCCACACCUCAGUUCCCUUGGCCUCAGAAUUCACAAAAUUUCCACAAAAUCUGUCCAAAGGAGGCUGGCAGGUAUGGAAGGGUUUGUGGCUGGGGGCAGGAGGGCCCUACCUGAUUGGUGCAACCCUUACCCCUUAGCCUCCCUGAAAAUGUUUUUCUGCCAGGGAGCUUGAAAGUUUUCAGAACCUCUUCCCCAGAAAGGAGACUAGAUUGCCUUUGUUUUGAUGUUUGUGGCCUCAGAAUUGAUCAUUUUCCCCCCACUCUCCCCACACUAACCUGGGUUCCCUUUCCUUCCAUCCCUACCCCCUAAGAGCCAUUUAGGGGCCACUUUUGACUAGGGAUUCAGGCUGCUUGGGAUAAAGAUGCAAGGACCAGGACUCCCUCCUCACCUCUGGACUGGCUAGAGUCCUCACUCCCAGUCCAAAUGUCCUCCAGAAGCCUCUGGCUAGAGGCCAGCCCCACCCAGGAGGGAGGGGGCUAUAGCUACAGGAAGCACCCCAUGCCAAAGCUAGGGUGGCCCUUGCAGUUCAGCACCACCCUAGUCCCUUCCCCUCCCUGGCUCCCAUGACCAUACUGAGGGACCAACUGGGCCCAAGACAGAUGCCCCAGAGCUGUUUAUGGCCUCAGCUGCCUCACUUCCUACAAGAGCAGCCUGUGGCAUCUUUGCCUUGGGCUGCUCCUCAUGGUGGGUUCAGGGGACUCAGCCCUGAGGUGAAAGGGAGCUAUCAGGAACAGCUAUGGGAGCCCCAGGGUCUUCCCUACCUCAGGCAGGAAGGGCAGGAAGGAGAGCCUGCUGCAUGGGGUGGGGUAGGGCUGACUAGAAGGGCCAGUCCUGCCUGGCCAGGCAGAUCUGUGCCCCAUGCCUGUCCAGCCUGGGCAGCCAGGCUGCCAAGGCCAGAGUGGCCUGGCCAGGAGCUCUUCAGGCCUCCCUCUCUCUUCUGCUCCACCCUUGGCCUGUCUCAUCCCCAGGGGUCCCAGCCACCCCGGGCUCUCUGCUGUACAUAUUUGAGACUAGUUUUUAUUCCUUGUGAAGAUGAUAUACUAUUUUUGUUAAGCGUGUCUGUAUUUAUGUGUGAGGAGCUGCUGGCUUGCAGUGCGCGUGCACGUGGAGAGCUGGUGCCCGGAGAUUGGACGGCCUGAUGCUCCCUCCCCUGCCCUGGUCCAGGGAAGCUGGCCGAGGGUCCUGGCUCCUGAGGGGCAUCUGCCCCUCCCCCAACCCCCACCCCACACUUGUUCCAGCUCUUUGAAAUAGUCUGUGUGAAGGUGAAAGUGCAGUUCAGUAAUAAACUGUGUUUACUCAGU